rnacentral:rRNA from 1 species
UACGUAGGGUGCAAGCGUUGUCCGGAAUUAUUGGGCGUAAAGAGCUCGUAGGCGGUUUGUCGCGUCUGCUGUGAAAACUCGGGGCUUAACCCCGGGCCUGCAGUGGGUACGGGCAGACUAGAGUGCGGUAGGGGAGACUGGAAUUCCUGGUGUAGCGGUGAAAUGCGCAGAUAUCAGGAGGAACACCGGUGGCGAAGGCGGGUCUCUGGACCGAUACUGACACUGAGGAGCGAAAGCGUGGGGAGCGAACAGG